ensembl:snoRNA
GUGCCCUCUUAAGGCUGACACAGUGCCUUGAGAGGCUAACACAGAAGGGCAAAGUAAGUCUCCAUAACACCCAGGGAAGAGACUGAGAAACUCCUCUUUGGUUCCUGCCUGAAGUCACAGCU